UUUUUUUUUUGAAAAGUGAAUAUAGAUAGACGUUGCUGUUGAAAUUAUAAUGGAAUUACUUAAUUAUUCGAUUGCUAUAUAAGAUUAAUAACAACAAUAACAAUGAAUGUAAAGCACUAAAUGGUAUUCCUAUUCCUAUUAGUAUCUGUUUGACUUGCUACACUACUGCAGUUGUAUGUUAGCUAAUACUAUAGCAUAGCUAACACACAUUCAGCCUCUGAGGGUACUCUUGGAUGAGGUUAUUUAAGGAGCCUAUCUCCUUGUCUCGGAUAAAAAUGCGACAUUACUUUUAAGAUAUUUGAGGGUGUCAAACAGCUAAUUCACAACCUAGAAUACCUGAUUACAAAGAUGCAUAGGAAAGUGAUAUCCAUGCAUUCUCUAACCUUACACCCCCAUUCUUUGACAUCCCACGUCUCUUCCUUUGGUAUUUUUAUCCGUAUCUUUUGACUGAAAUUUUCAAGGCAAAGAAAAACAAGAUGCACGCUAGCUAUUCAAGUGCUGCAAGUAUAUAUCAGGUACAAUUAGCAAAUGCGAAACAGCUUGGUGAUCAUUACACCUCCAAACAUCCAAAGGAAAAGCCUCCUGCUGAAUCAAGUUGAUUGCUUUCCCAUGUAAAAAUGCAAAAAGGAAAAAGGAAAAAAAAAAUGCUUUUCCUGUGUGAUUGCCGGACAUUGUAUGUUUAACUGUGUCUUAUUCUAAAGCAACGAAAAUGACUCUUACCUAUUUGCCUUUCACUUUCAGUGAUGUGACGAAUUGUAUGACACUAGGAUGACAAUAAAGCAGUUCUAUCUAUGAAUUCAUAAUCGAAUAUGGAUACACUGAACUUAUGUGCAUAUGACGCUUGAGAAAAUUUUGUAGAAUAAGUAUGAUUUGAAUGAAAUUUUAAAUUCCUUGUGCCA